rnacentral:rRNA from 1 species
GACGAACGCUGGCGGCGUGCUUAACACAUGCAAGUCGAACGGUAAGGCCCUUCGGGGUACACGAGUGGCGAACGGGUGAGUAACACGUGGGUGAUCUGCCCUGCACUUCGGGAUAAGCCUGGGAAACUGGGUCUAAUACCGGAUAGGACCCUGGGAUGCAUGUCCUGGGGUGGAAAGCUUUUGCGGUGUGGGAUGGGCCCGCGGCCUAUCAGCUUGUUGGUGGGGUGAUGGCCUACCAAGGCGACGACGGGUAGCCGGCCUGAGAGGGUGACCGGCCACAAUGGGACUGAGAUACGGCCCAGACUCCUACGGGGGGCAGCAGUGGGGAAUAUUGCACAAUGGGCGCAAGCCUGAUGCAGCGACGCCGCGGGAGGGAUGACGGCCUUCGGGUUGUAAACCUCUUUCAGCACCGACGAAGCGCAAGUGACGGUAGGUGCAGAAGAAGGACCGGCCAACUACGUGCCAGCAGCCGCCGUAA